CCAAUAAUGUCAUUGGGGAGGAUAAUGUUUAAUGUCUAUAAUUCGUCACCCCCCCACCCCAAUGCCAAUGCCAGUAUGAAAACAUCUUUUAAAUAUGGUAACACAGGUCUGCAAAUAAACAAAGAAAGUGAAAACUGGCGAAUGGACUAAGUAAUAUAGAUUUAAAAAACAGCUCACUAUAGUAGUUAUGAUGCCACCGAUAUAAGCAGUCAAACCAUUUUAGAAUGAUUUAACACUUUACCUAGGGCAGUGAUGGCGAACCUAUGGCACGCGUGCCUCAAUUCGGCCCUCUCUGUGGGCACGUGACAAUAGGACACUGAGGCGGGGGGGGGAGGGGCGCAGGAGCCAGUCGGCAGCAAUGCUAAGGUCUGCCAGGUGCUGCUCCCCACCUCUACUAGUAACACCGGAGAGCGGGAAGAUACCCAACUGGAACAUCUGCUAGCUUUCCUGUGCUAAUUCCUGCAGUAGUGGAGUAAGCAGUUCCUGGCAGACCACAUUUUAGAAGGCAAAUCUUUAAAAAACGGGUUGACUGUUUACAAUGGGAGACGACAGGUGCUGUACUGUUUAUGGUAGUGUUAUUUUGGGCUGUAGGGGUUAUGGUGCUUGGCACUAUAUAGUGCUCCAUAACAUUAUAUUUUUAAUGCCUCAAAUUGUUAGAAUAAUCUUUUGGGAUUCAGGUUCCCUUUUUUUACUGUAAAAGUAAGUAACCUGUUACACACCUGGAAUCUAAAGCCAAAUCUGGAGCCACAACUGCUUCUUAUCUGCAGUUCUGUCUGCUUCAGCUGAUUUGAUCAGGCUUGUGCAAUUAUAUGAGUAGCAUUGUGGACAUAAUUUGCAUGUGCAGCUAUCGCUGCAAUACUACAAUCAAAUAUUUGACAUCCUCACGCCUUGACGUCAAGAACCGAGUCUGACUUUGAUGCACCAUCUACAAGACAACAACUAGAGGUAUGUUUAACUCUGCAAUGUAAACCAUGACAUAAAAACACAGAAAAAAAACAGGGACACUAUACAAAGACCACUUCAUUUAUAUAAAAUGAUCAGGGUGCCUAUAGUAUCCAUU